rnacentral:rRNA from 1 species
AUACGUAGGUGACAAGCGUUAUCCGGAUUUACUGGGUGUAAAGGGCGUGUAGGCGGUUUAGCAAGUCAGAAGUGGAAUUCCCGGGCUUAACUUGGGCGCUGCUUCUGAAACUGCUUUACUUGAGUGCUGGAGAGGAUAGUGGAAUUCCUAGUGUAGCGGUAAAAUGCGCAGAUAUUAGGAGGAACACCGGUGGCGAAGGCGGCUAUCUGGACAGUAACUGACGCUGAGGCGCGAAAGCACGGGGAGCAAACAGGAUUAGAUACCCUGGUAGUCCACACUGUAAACGAUGAAUGCUAGGUGUAGGGGGUAUCGACCCCUUCUGUGCCGCAGUCAACACAAUAAGCAUUCCGCCUGGGGAGUACGGCCGCAAGGUUGAAACUCAAAUGAAUUGGCGGGG